UCCCUGCUUGUCCAGUGGUUAGGACUUGGUGCUUUUACUGCCAAGGAUCCAGGUUCAAUCCCUAGCUGGGGAA
rnacentral:tRNA from 1 species